CGACUGUCGUUGACAUUGAUAAAAUCGUUGGGCGCGUGCUGCGCCCAGACGACAGAUCCGAUGGAUUCAGACACAAUCGGAGAUACGGAUGCCAGAAGAAAUGAGCUGGGUUUUGUGGCCUAAUUAGUUUCACCUGUGUCAAUGUGCAAACAAAGCCGCCAAAGCAUAUGGAAUGUAUGCCAGGAGCUUUUGUUGCUGCUGCUGCUGCUGAUGAAGAAGACAACAACGGACAUAUACACAAAUAUAUAUGGUAUAAUAUUCAAUGGGAGCCAGACAGACGAGACUGCAUCCAAAACAAUGCCAGCAUUUACUGAAAAAUCCAUCCAGGAAUCAACAGCGCAGACUUCGAUGUGGAUACACCAUUGCGCAUAAACUUUCUGCGGCUCCUCCGAUAGACCUAAAUCUGGUUUUCGAGCGGUAUGUGUGGUAUUUCUGAAUACACUUAAAGAAUUUUGAUCAUAUGAACUUAUGCAAAGAUGAAUGUAAUACUCAUCGAAUCAAUUCUGACCCGAAAAUGUAUUGCUUGAAAGAA
rnacentral:misc_RNA from 1 species